AAGAAGUACAGGAACUCAAGCACAGAGCAGUGGAGGAAUAUACUUGUUCCCUCAAGGGUGAAGAUCAGCAAAAUUAAGUGGAAAGGCAGCCAACUGAUCAAGAAGACAAUUAUCCAGAAGCCAGAUGAACCCAAGGAGAACAGUGCUGACCAGGACUCUCCAAGAAUAAAAUAGACCAUACCAUUGCAAUCUGAAAUGUGUGAGGAGGAUUUCCAUUUUUAAUCCAUUAAAUUACACCAACAAGGUAUUUGAAGAUUAGCUCCAAAAUGGUAGUUUUUUCCUCUGUCACUAUUUUUUCUUUUGGAAGGAGUGUUGGUGGUUUUUACAAUGUUAAAGAAUACUCCAAAAGUAUUCCAGAAGGGAACACCCCCACCCUCUGCAAAGUGAAGUGAUGCAACUCUCAGCAUUCAAACUGUGGACUGCAUAUAUUGAUCAAGUUUGACUAUCUGCAAGAUCGGGUCUUCAUACAAGUUGUGACUAUUGCCCCUAGUGGAAAUUCUGUUCAACUGCAGCAUGAACACAUCUGAAUACUGUCAGAAAUUGAGCCGGUUCUAUCCGGCUCUGGUGAACUGGUAGCGCCAGUGGCGGGAGACUCUGCCCACCUGUCCGGACAUCAUCACGUCCGUUUUUGACCCUCUGCGCAUGCGCAGAAGGCUCUGCGUGUGAGUGGAGGAGGCACACGCUCACAUUUGUGAACCGGUAGUGAAGAAGUCCAGCACUGGAGAUUGGUUCUGUAGUCGGCAGUAUUGGAUUUCCAAAGUUAGAAUGUCCAAGGCAGUUCUUGUUGAUCCAGAUGACAACCAAUCAGCCAUUGGAUCAAUUUUUGUUUGUUUUCCCAAUUGCUAAUGGAUUUUGGAGGUACCUAAUCUAGCUUUUUAGCUGAGGACUGCCUGACUUGCUUAAUUUAGAGAGCUAUGGAAAUGGCCUUGAAAGGAAUAUUCAGAAGCCUUUACAGAAACAAGGGCAGAAGCAGUGUGUGGCCCUAGGGAAGAAGACAGAAAAGGCUCGGGAUGGUUCCUCCAUGACUCAAUGGGCUAUAAGAGGGAGAGAAGGUGAAACACAAACAGAAUCUCAAUAAAGUUCAUUUCUAAUCUUCA